rnacentral:rRNA from 1 species
AUUGAACGCUGGCGGCAGGCCUAACACAUGCAAGUCGAGCGGAUGAAGGGAGCUUGCUCCUGGAUUCAGCGGCGGACGGGUGAGUAAUGCCUAGGAAUCUGCCUGGUAGUGGGGGAUAACGUCCGGAAACGGGCGCUAAUACCGCAUACGUCCUGAGGGAGAAAGUGGGGGAUCUUCGGACCUCACGCUAUCAGAUGAGCCUAGGUCGGAUUAGCUAGUUGGUGGGGUAAAGGCCUACCAAGGCGACGAUCCGUAACUGGUCUGAGAGGAUGAUCAGUCACACUGGAACCGAGACACGGUCCAGACUCCUACGGGAGGCAGCAGUGGGGAAUAUUGGACAAUGGGCGAAAGCCUGAUCCAGCCAUGCCGCGUGUGUGAAGAAGGUCUUCGGAUUGUAAAGUACUUUAAGUUGGGAGGAAGGGCAGUAAGUUAAUACCUUGCUGUUUUGACGUUACCAACAGAAUAAGCACCGGCUAACUUCGUG